ensembl:lncRNA
GCUUCCCACUGUACUCUGCAACCCCAAGUGUAGGGAUGAUUUUUUUUUAACUUUUUUUCUUCUUUUUUUCUUUUUAGGGCCACACCUGCAGCUUAUGGAAGUUCCCAGGUGAGGAAGGACCUGAACUGCAGCUGCUGGCCUACGCCAUAGCCAUGGCAACACUGGACCUGAGCUGCACCUUCAACCUAUGCCACAGACCACAGCAAUGCUGGAUCCUUACCCCACUGAGCGGGGCCAGCGAUUGAACCCACAUCCUCAUAGAGACUAUGCUGGGUUCUUAAUCCACUGAUCCACAAUGGGAACCCUGAUGAACAUUUUCUUUACCCUCUACAGUAAAGUGUGAUCACGCUGGAAUGUUAUAGAAAACUUUGCCAAAGGCUCAGGAGGAGGAGCAAGGGUGAAUAAAUCCAGAGUGAUGCAAAAGCAGAUUAUCUGGCUCAAGACCUGCCGUUGGCUCGUGUCCAGCUCCGAGCCCUCAUGAGGUUGCUGCCCACCAGCAUGGACCCUGGCUUGGAGCCUUGUCAGAGGCCACCUUUCCCCCUCUCAUCCAGGAGCCUGGAGGUCCAUGGCCAAGUCGAUGAGACAGGAUUUACCCUCCAGCCUACCUAAGACCUGCCUUCUGAGUUCUAGGUUCUGUCCCAGAACCCACCUCUUGCCUGGAUGAUUAAGGCAGGGAAUAUCCUGCCUACUUGACUGUGCAGGCCUCAGUAUCACAAACUCACAAACAUAGGGAAGUGCAACCCCACAGCUUUUCACAUGAGCAAGAAACACAGAAUUAAAAAGCAAAAGGGCUAUUUUUCUAGUCUACAUAGCCCACUUGAAGACUGGAUCCUCAGCCUAGGUUUCCUGCUCACCACUCCAGUUCUCUAGGGCAAUAAAGCCAUGCCCUGCUUGGCUAAAGCACUCCCACUAGCUCUUGCCAACUUCAUGCUCUAUGUAUGGUUCUGGAUGCAAGUCCUUAGAACUCCUAUUUGCUGGCUGGGUCCCUACAUGGACUAGAUGGACACUCCAUAUCCACAAUCAAACACCUACCUGACUUCCAGCACUAACAACUCCUGACCCCACCCUAAUGCUGACCCCGUGUUUUUUUUGUUUUUUUGUUUUUUUUGUUUUUUUUGUUUUUUUGUUUUUUUGUUUUUUUGUUUUUUGUUUUUUUUGUCUUUCUGCCUUUCCUUGGGCUGCUCCCGCGGCAUAUGGAGCUUCCCAGUCUAGGGGUCUAAUCAGAGCUAUAGCCGCCGACCUAAGCCAGAGCCACAGCAACGCGGGAUCCAAGCCGCGUCUGCAAGCUACACCACAGCUCACGGCAACGCCGGAUCCUUAACCCACUGAGCAAGGCCAGGGAUUGAACCUGCAACCUCAUGGUUCCUAGUCAGAUUCGUUAACCACUGCGCCAUGACGGGAACUCCUGCUGACCCGGUUUUAUGACACCAACUUGAUUAAAGGCUAAAGUCAUCCUGAGUCUUCUUAGAACUUAGGAAUGGAGUAUCUAGUCCUCACCAAGAGCCAGCCACGUUGCUGAAUGAGAUGAGAGUCAUCAGGGGCCAGAUGGAGAGCUCUGCCUUCUCCAGAAUUCUCAAAAGAUGAGUCCCAGGAUUCCCUGGUGGCUCAACAGGUUAAGGAUCUGAUAUGGUCACUGCUGUGACUCUGGUUACUGCAGUUGCUCGGGUUUGAUCCUAGCCUGGGAACUUGUGCCUGCCGAGAGUGAGGCAAAAACAAACAAAAAAACAAACAAACAAACAAACAAACAAAGUGCUUCAAGAGAUCUGGAAAUGAACAGAACACGCCUAUGUAAGGCAGGAAUUUGCUUGAUACCCUGAAAAGGGAAGAGUAAAAAGAAAAGAGCUGGCAAGAUGUCCAACGGUUGUGUCUCAGCCAGCGAACUGAAAUAUCUCUUCAAUCCCUGCCUCCUCUAAUCUACAAUAAGUCUAUAAAAACUCAGCAAAUCCUGGAAGUCAUUAGACAGCAUACGGAAACCAGCAAAGGAGAGGAUAUUGACAGGCCUGGGAGUGGAGCACCCAAGACAUGAAACAGUAAGUGAAAGAACCCAAGAAAUCAUAGGUUUAUGUCCCAGGCCACAGAAUUGAGGUUCCAGUCAACUCUAAUAGAUCUCUACAAGUCUGGAAGUCCCACAUAUACUUUAAAAAAUAAUCAUUAGAGCCACCACUUUAUUGAGCACCUACUAUGUGGCAAAGUUUGCCUAAUUUUUAAAGUCUACCAUAACCCUGUGAGGUAGGUAUUACACCCAUUUUAGUGAUGAGGAAACCGAGGUUCAGAGUAGUUGAAUAACUUCUCCAAGAUUGCACAACUAUUUUGACAGAGCCAGCCUUUUGGGCAGCUGGGUCCAAAAUCCAUGCCCUUUCCACAACGGAUGUGUUGGACUCCAGUAGUCUCCCGGUUCCCUUCCAUCCUCAUCUUGGUCUCUCCCCAUCUUCCUUCCCUCUGCUCCCGACAGCCCUGCUUGGGUCUGUGCUGAGAUCAGCUGAGUCAGACCACAAUCAGUCAGCCACUUAGCAAACACGUCUCCAACUUUUAUCAUUUGUCAAGAAUUGUGCAAGAGAUUGAGGAUUCGAACACAACACAAUGACUGAGGGCUGGGUGCCAUGAUAGAUACGUAUCUAUGGAGCUGUGGGACAGAACAAGGGCCACCCAGGUUCUGCCUCAGGUUCUAGGCAAGUAGUGGAGAACAGGGCACUGGAAGGUUUCUUUGGCCAAAAGGGACAACACAGGUUCCUGAUGCCAAACAGCUGAGCCUAGAGGUUGCUAGGAGCUAUUUUUCUUUCUUUUUUUGUUUUUUGUUUUCUGUUUUUUUUUAGGGCCGCAUCUGCAGCAUAUGGAAGUUCCCAGGUGGGUUGAAUCGGAGCUAUGGCUGCAGGCUAUGCUACAGCUCACUGCAACGCCAGAUCCUUAACCCUGAGCGAGGUCAGGGAUAGAACUUGCAUCCUCAUGGAUACUAGUUGGGUUCAUUACUGCUGAGCCAGGAUGGGAACUCCCCUUCUUUUUCUUUCUUUCUUUUUUUUUGCACUUUACUCCUUUGCCAAUCAGGAAAGAACAGAAAGUGCAGACACCUUAACAGGCUCAACCCCACACUGAAGGAAAGGAAAAAUCGAGCUAACAGUUUCCGUGUAUCUCCGACGUGCCAGUUAUCCCCUCAGUCCUCACGACCUGAUUCUGCUGAAAGAGUAACAAGAGUGUUUGGGUAAGUGAACCUAGGGCAUUCAGCUGGAAAAGGCAGACUGGGAUUCAGACCCAGCCCAGCCUCCUCCAGAGCCCAUGAAUGAUCUUUCCACUACACACCACCUCACCGCCUCUGGGUAGAAGCUGCUGGAGGUCCACUUGAAUCGGCUGGUUGAUUAAACUCGGGCACAGCAGGUAGCAAGUGUUGCAUGGGACUGUGCCGGGGCCGGCCCCCCCCUGCCACUGCCCCACCCUCCCAGGGUCAAAGUUUACAAAAUAAUGAAAUGUCCAAAGGCUUGGAACCAUGCUUGUCCACGCUCUUCAGAUUCUUCUGCACCUAAGACCCUCCUCCAGGCAGCCUGGACUCCCUUCAUCUCCACCUCCCUUUCCCAGCCAGGAAGUCUGAGCACCAGCCUCAGGAAAAUGUCAGCCAGGCCUGGCCAAGCAUAUGCCUGUGUCAUUGGCACCGCAGGGAGCUCCAACAGUCAGGAGAUGGAAGAACCCGGUGCCAGGGGCGGGGCAGAUGGCAUCUCAUCAGCCCUGCCACUGCGCUGAGAACCCUCAAACCUACUCUUGGCUUCCUCUCGGAAACAAGGGCUGCCCAAGAGCCUUCAUCCCCAUGCCCAUGGCAACCUACCCAGCCCACGGUGCCAUGCCAACCCACAAGCUGGCAGAGACGCUGCCGAGGCACGAUCCCCUCUGCCACCUGCCUGUUGUCACUCUUCAUUGAGCAUCACUGGCCUUCCACAGGGCUGCGCUCCCAGGCUCCAGGCUUCCAAUCUGCUCUCUGGGAGGCUGACAGAGGAUGGGCAGGGCUGGGGGAGACCUCCCUUCCUUGCUCCUGCCAGCCCCUUGCCCAGGGCCUGGAGGUUGGAACAAGAGCUAGGAACCCAGAUGGCAGUUGCUGCCAUCUAAUUAUGCGUGCAUACGAUAUUAGCCAAAAGCAUUUGACGGUCUCCUGCAGUCUCAGGCAGAUCAAAAGGAGACGCGCGGGUUCGAGGAUUACUCCAGCAGAGUAAUGGCUGACAAGACUGCCUGCCGCCACUGAGGCACCCACGGGCAGGCUGUCUGCCCCCAUCAGAUGCCUCACUCUUCACCUGAGGGAAGAGGAUGAGCUGGGGCCAGCAGGGGCUGGGGUCCCCCAGGGUGCGGUGAUGUGCCAGUCACUACAGUGAAGACCCUGAGCUUCGCCGGGACAGAGGCACAGGGUUUGUGUGUUCCAGAAAGUGAUAGGGAUGGAGUAGCAGAGUUACACAGGUGGUUGGACAAGUCCCAGGAGGGAGCCAUAGAUGGAGAGGGAAACCUAGGGAAUUUUGGGAGACCACUGUCUGUCAGCGAUCGCCCAAGAAAGCUAUCAGAACGUCAUGGAACAAUGCAGGCUUGCUUAACUAUAAAACCAUAACUAAAGCAAGAGAUAUGCCUCAGGUCAUUCAAUGAAAGAUAAAAUGAGGCCUGCAUUCAAGUUCUGCAAGAUAAUGAUCCUUAGGGGAAAAAAAUGGAGUUCUUAUUGUGGCUCAGUGGAAACGAACCUGCCUAGGAUCCUUGAGGAUGCAGAUUUGAUCCCUGGCCUGGAUCAGUGCGUUAAGGAUCCAGUGUUGCUGUGAGCUGUGGGGCAGGUCACAGACAUAGCUCAAAUCAGACGUUGCUAUGGCUGUGGUAUAGGCCGGCAGCUGUAGCUCUGAUUUGACCCCAGCCUGGGAAUUUCCAUGUGCAGCGGGUGCAGCCCUAAAAAGCAAAAAAAAAAAAAAAAAAAAAAAAAAA